rnacentral:rRNA from 1 species
AUUGAACGCUGGCGGCAUGCCUAACACAUGCAAGUCGAACGAAGCCUUCGGGCUUAGUGGCGCACGGGUGCGUAACGCGUGGGAAUCUGCCCUUGGGUUCGGAAUAACAGUUAGAAAUGACUGCUAAUACCGGAUGAUGUCUUCGGACCAAAGAUUUAUCGCCCAAGGAUGAGCCCGCGUAGGAUUAGGUAGUUGGUGGGGUAAUGGCCCACCAAGCCGACGAUCCUUAGCUGGUCUGAGAGGAUGAUCACCCACACUGGGAUUGAGACACGGCCUAGACCCCUACGGGAGGGAGCAGUGGGGAAUAUUGGACAAUGGGCGAAAGCCUGAUCCAGCAAUGCCGCGUGAGUGAUGAAGGCCUUAGGGUUGUAAAGCUCUUUUACCAGGGAUGAUAAUGACAGUACCUGGAGAAUAAGCUCCGGCUAACUCCGUGCCAGCCGCCGCCGUAA